CUUUGGCCUCCCAAAGUGCUGGGAUUACAGGCAUGAGCCACCGCACCUGGCUAAUAUUACUGUACAAGUUUUGUGUGUACAAGAGCAUGGCGGCGCGUGCCUGUAAUCCUGCUAUUUGGGAGGCUGAGACAGGAGAAUCUCCUGAACUCUGGGAGGAGGAGGUUGCAGUGAGCCGAGAUUGUGCCACUUUUUAGAGUACUAAAAAGUAGGAUGGAGUUUCACGAUGAGCCACCGCGCCCCGCCUGUGUGAACAUAUGUUUCAAUUCUCUUGGGUAUAUUCUCUCUAGGAGUAGAACUGCUGAAGCAUAUGGUAGCCCUAUGUGUAACUUUUUGAGUAACAGCAAGGCUGUUUUCCAAUGCGGCUGAGCUAUUUUACAUUCUCACCAGUCAUGUCUGAGGGCUGUCAUUUCUCUAUAACCUUUCCAAACUUUGUUCUUUUCUGUCUUUUUUAUGACAGCCAUUUUAAUGGGUGUGAAGUGGCAUUAUAUUCCAGUUGUGAAUUGUGGUUUCCCAUCUUUUCUUGUGCUCGUGGCCGUUUUUAUUACAUAGUUAUUUUAAUAAUAUAUUUCCAAUUUCAGUUUAAAAACUAGUGUCUGAGCAAUCUCUAAAGCUGAUCGGUACGUUUUUAAAGUGUUGUAAAAACUCAUGAGUUUUAAUGUAUUUAACAUGUUUUGAUCACUACUCUCUAUUAUUUAUUUACUUAUUUUUAUUUUUUUAAAUUUAUUUAUUUAUUUUGAGACAGAGUCUCGACCUGUCACCAGACUGAAGAGCAGUGGGGUGAUCUCAGCUCACUGCAACUUCCGCCUCCUGGGUUCAAGCAAUUCUCCUGCCUCAGCCUCCUGAGUAGCUGGGACUACAGGUCAUGAAAGUCAAGCCAAGACUGAAGAACUGUUCCAAACUGAAUGAGACUAAAAUGAACUGGAUCCUUUGGGACAACUGGAGAAACCUGAAUGGAGUCUGAGGACUGUUCGUGGAAGCAGAACAGUGCUAAUUUCCCACUUUUGAUGGUUGCAUUGUAUUUUUAAAGGAGAGUGUUCUUAUUUGUAGGAAGCACACACUUAAGGCUUUGUGGGGUGAUGCGUAUUAUGUCAAUUUACUCUCAAAUGAUUCCGGGGGACAAGUGCUUUGUUCUAUCUUUACACUUUUCUGUAACGUUGUGAUUGUCCAAAACAUUUUUGUCAAGAGAACAAAAAAUCAGCAUGGUUGGAUCUGGCCCCUGUCACAAAUUACAGACUUAGAAUGUACACGUGUAUUAUUUUGUAAUCGGUUUAUUCAGAUUCCAACAAUGAGAAAUGCUCCACAUAAAUGCCAGAGUUUGCUGUAUAGCUUAAAUAAACUGAUUGAAAAAGAAAGGCAUGUCCCAGUUACUUUCACAUAUGAAAACAGGAAGUAUAACUUAGUAUAGCCACUAGAAAAACAUAUAGUCUGCUUUUUAUUAAAAAAUUUUAAAAAGCCAUCCAUUAGGUCAAUAAUUAGUAAAUUAAACCCAUCAUUUUCUUUUGCACAUGUAUUUGUCAUGGAAUCUCCAGGUAAAAAUCUUGUCUGACAGACAAGGUCAGCUCAGGUGGUUUAGUAAUCUAAGAAAUUCGAAUAUUUGGGCCUACCUUGAGCUCUUCUUUGUGCCUUGGGGCAUGGGUCCUGGGGCCUUCAUGCCCAUCUGACUCAUUUGUUGUCAUGCAUCGCUCCUCCCUGACAUUGGUUUGUGCUGGUUACAUCUUAAAAGUCUGUCUUAGAAGUAACUUCUUUUUUUUUUUUUUUUUU